ensembl:lncRNA
GCUGAGGGAACUCUAGGUAUAAGCACCAAGUAACAAAAACUAUUCCUUGAGCCAAAAGAGACCCCAGGAAGUCUGUUUAAAGGUCACUAUGACCUUGAAGCAAGCUGGAGCACAUCUCUCUUCCCAUGGCCCCAAAAUAUUGUGAGGUAACUCAGAAACCACAAAGGACACCCUCGAGUAUGAAGACAGAGGGCAAACAUCCAUUCGUGCAUUGCUGUGGCAUCUCUGACCUUUCUCUCACCAGUGCCUGAGAUGUCCACGGGAUUCCAACAGCUGAGGGUGAUGGAAAAAAGUCUGUAGAAAUAUUUUGCUUCUCCUGUGGUUGAGUUGACUAACAGGGCUGAGAAGAUGCCGUGUUUCUUAGAAUUGAAUUUGUGAGUUUUUUGACUCCAUAAGUCAUCAAUGAAGGAAUGACUCAUUUAAAAACACUUAAAGAGAGUCUACUAAGUGCUUGGGUUGAAGUGACAGAGGCAAUUAAAAAUUGAUUCCUGCCCUAAAGGAACUCACAGGGAGGUGCAGGAGGCAGAGAGGUCAAUAAGUCAGUUCAAUAUGAUAUGAUAAGAGUUAGGGAUAUGAUAAGAGUAAUGUGGGUGGAGGAGGGGUCCAGGUCCAAUCGUGGGAGUGUGGGGGAGAAGGUCAGGAAGGGAUUCCCAGAGGAGGUGACCUCUGACUUGAGUAAAAACAGAAUUGUGGCAUUAGUUAAUGCUAAGGCAGUAAUCAUAUUGCAACAUAUAAGUGCAUCAAACCAACACCUUGUACAGCUUAAACUUGCACAACGUUAUAUGUCACUUAUAUCUCAAUUGAAACAAAAGGGAAUUGCAUGUGUGUUUGCCAAGUGAACUCUUCUCAACCAUAAGAGAAAAGCAAAACUUAGGUAUCCUUUGGUUAGGAACAAGGCAGGUAUGGCUAUUUCUUGAAAGGAACUGUCUCAUUUGAUUAUUCUUGUUUUGCUUUAUUUUGUUGCCUUGGUAACGUAGCCUUUACUAUUAUGUGCGGUGUUACUUUCAGAAGCAAAAGCGUUUCACCCUCUGAAUAGCUUAGACGUUCCAUGUCAUAACGCACAUCGGGGGAGUGCCUGCUCUAUCACCUACUACUGGACCAGGCUACCUGCCUGGAGGAGAUGCCACGAAAGGGUGACAAUGGACAUUUCCAUUACAGUCUGGGUCUUCUCAGGCAUGAUGUCAACUGGAAGAGAGAGAGUGGCUGCAGCCUGAAUCCUAGCCUGAGGGUCAGGAUAAAACUAAAUGCACUUUAUAACUGCAGUGAGUAGAGCAACGCUCUGACCAGUUGCUUUGGACUCUGCACUGGGGAGUAGACAAAUGCAAACAAUGGACCGAAAUGAAGGGGAGCUUUAGGACGGAGGCAUGGAUGAGAGAGGACUCUGAGAAGUUCUGAGGACAGGGGCUUCUUCAUCUCUGUUCCACUGAAUUGACAAUUUCUCACAAGAAGUUUUGAAAAUUCCUCAUUUUAUCGUUGAAAGGAAACAAUUUAAUUCAACACAAUUACAUUGUUAACUCUUGUACAGCUACUAUAAUGAAUUCUGGGUUUAUAUUGAUGAAAAAGACUUAUUUCUGCCUCAGGUUGCUCACAGAGUAGACAGACUCUUAAACAGGUAACCAAAAUGCAGUGAUAGAAUGGAUUUGGCUAAUUCGUGCAAAGAUUCUAUCCCCGUGAUCUCAUUACCCCUGAUUCCCCGGCCAGGUGUGAUAGAUACAGUGCAGGGGAGAUGGUCAGGCUCUGAUUUUCUAUCCUAGAUCUACCCAGAGCUGUUCAUCAUUCCGUAAUUUUCUUUGCAUUUCACACCUCCAGAUCCCAGUCAUAGUUAAUAGCGUGUCACUUUACCUCGCCACUUCUGUGGAAUUUCCUGGCUGCAUGCAAACUCAGCUCUCUAAGAGAAUUAGGCUGUCUCUAGACCACAUCUGUCCCUGAACCCCUGCCUCUGCUUGGGUCUCCUUGUCCCAACGUUAACCUUGGCCCCUAUUUAUCCUCAAUCCUUCAUCUCGUCCUCUUCCCCCCUUCAAAAACCUUUUGCUCAGUUCCUGCCAUUCUUGAACCCUUGUGGAUUUCAGCAAGACAGAGCUAAAAUGAAAAAUGGAACAAACACUCAAAGGAGUUGCAUCCUGGAUCAUUGAACCUCAUUGGUGCACCUGCAAAAAUAGAGCCAGGAUCUUGAAAGAACGGAAGGUGGCAGUAGAGGAACGAGCAUACUUUCUGGUCCCGGUGCUGAAGAAAAGCCAAAUCCAGGAUUCCAGCUUCACUCAAUUUUCUCUCACAGAUGUAUUACUUCUCUUCGUGUUGCCAUUUCUCUUCUUUUUAUCCCUUUCUAAUUCAGUCUUUCAUCUCUCCUCUCUGAUUCUUUCUCCAUGUUCCCCCAAUUGCUUUGGAAGGCUUUGUGCUAGCUGAGAUAUCAUUUCUAGUUGACUUUUUCCAAGAAAUAUUAAAUCUGCCAUCCUUUGCCUUUUCAUCCAUUUAAGCCUUACUUAAAUGAAUGGGUUCUAGGAACUAAUACAACAACUUACAUUCUCUACCAUCUUUAAUACAAAACUUACCGAAAUAAUACUGGGUGGGUAAAAUUAGCAAACGUGUGAUUUUAGGCAAUUGCCUGUAGAAUUUUUAGCGAGUUGCUAAACUACUUAAGUAACUUCCUCAGGAGAAUCUAUAUCAGGGAUCAGCUAACCAUCACCUGAGGGUCAAAUCUGGUCUGCAACCUGUUUUUGUAAAUAAAGUUUUAUUGGAGCAUUGCCACGCUCAUUUGUUUACCUAUAGCCUAUGAGUGCUUUUGCACGACAAUGGCAGAGUUAAGUAGUCAUGACAGAGACUGCAUGGCCUGCAAAGCCUAAAAUAUUUCCUUUCUGGCUCUUUACAGGGUUUGCUGACCGCUGCUCUAGGUGUCUGUAUUAAUCCACCCGCUAAGUUGUGCUGCAGAAGGAAAUGAUUGAAAACCGCAGUGGCUUACAACAAAGGGGCACUUCUCACUCACGUGACAUGACCUUUGAGGGUCAGCUUUGAUGUUUCACUCCAGGCUGCAGGCUGGAAGAGCAGACCCCAUAUGGAACAGUGCUGAUUUAGGAAAGAGGGAGAAGAGAGAAGGCAGAAUCACAAUAGCUCUUGAAGGUGGCACAUGUCAGUUUCACUCAUGUUUCAUUGGCUAAGAAAGUCGCAAGGCCACACACGUGGGGAAGGAAAUAUAUUCCUCCUUAGGGACUUCUGGGAGGGAGAGGCCUGGUGAGGAAGAUCCAGAGAAAACUCUGGAAAUAAUACAGUCUAUUACAGUGGCUGUUAGGCUUUUGUUAAGAGUUCAGAAUAAAAAUGAAAACUACAAGGUCUUAGGGCAGAAAGGCUAAUCAUUUUUGUCUUCUCUUCCUUUGAAGCAGGUCAAACAGUAUGAGUCCUACAAUGAGUACGGCCUCAGAAUGCUAUGUGUUCCGAGGGUGACAAAGGAAGCUCAGAUCCUCUGGAUUCCUGGCAAGACCCUCCACCUCGCUCUCCCCCAUGCUGGCCCUCACAGCCUCCUCUUCGCUCUUUGCUUGGAGAAUCUCAGGAUCCAUCUCACCAUUUCCCUUGCAUCACAGAUUGAGUUUCCUGAGCAGGAGAUUUGAACACAGAUGGUUCACUGGGGAGUUCUCUCAGCAUCGCCAGCUGUCGGGGGAAUGGAAGGCAGCAGAAUGGGCCCGGGCAGAGUAGUGGCAGCAGAGGCCCGCAAAGAUCCUGUAAUGCCAGGAAGAGUUCCGAAACUUUGAUGAUUUUUUAGAGUGGCUGUGAGCAAGAUAUAAAUGGAAAUACAGCCCAGGUGGUUGUGGACAGCCAAAAUAGAACUUCUAGAAGUGAAGUUGACAAUGACAAGGGCAGACAGAUGUAGAGUUAACCUGGUCUUGGAGGACAUUGGUCCCUGGACUACAGAGAACGUGAGCUCUUGCUGCAAGUCACCUGCCUCUAAGAGACAUAAAUAACCACAACUGGCAGAAAAUAAAGCAGGCAAUCUCUGGAAAUGCCUGGAUAAAUUAAAAUGAAAUACAACCCAAGACUCCAGCACUGUAGACUCCGUUGAAUGCUGUGUUGCCAGUCAGCAGAUGAAAGAACUCAGACCUAGAGGUGUGAAGCAAUAUGCCCCCAAUUGGCACCACACAGCUACAAAGUGGAGCCACAAUUCACCCAGGUGGUGUUGUAGAUGAUCACAGAAAUGGAAAGCGUCACGAGACUGGCUAAAUCAAGACAUAGGGAAUGGAGGGAAAAAAAGAACCAUUGAAAGAAACAACUGAGUCCAUACAAGAACGUUCCUUUUGCAGACUUUGACAUCAUGAAGGACAUAUUUCUCUGUCUACCUCAGCUGUUAUAAAAUUGUAUGAUGUGCAAGAGAAGCUAGAACUAGAUGGGAGCAGAGAAGGGGGCCUGGGCCCUUUUGCAAACACCAAGACCUUUUGUUGGAAUGGGAUAGAAAAAACCCACAAGCUUAACUUGGUAGGUCUGAGGGCUUGCUAAUGCAACCAGCUGAAACUUUGUAAACGUUUAGCAUAAAACUCAUUUUUAAUCUCAUAAACUUAAUUUUUUCCCCUAGCAUAUGGGAUGCAUAAAAAGGAAAUAAAACUUUAGUAAAUUGAGCCUUACUUGUGCUUUAUAAAAAAGAAAUUGAAUUGCUCUAAUGGCAGCUGCAGCUGGCUUUCAGCUUCGAACAACCAGUGUAAAUCUCGUUUUUAGUGCUUGAUUUAGUAAACACUCAGCUGCGAACAGGCUUGGAAAACAACUCUGAAUGCAGGGUUUUCCAUAAAGGCAGUUAUGUAACCUCUGUGUGUUAUGCCUUUAAAAUCUGUGAAGAAUAGCAGAAACCCUGAUUGAGAUAUCUUACAAUUAUCCUUUACUCUGGAUUUAAAUCUGCAGAGAGUUUGCUACUCAUUAUGCACAGAGCGAGCACAAAUGGAUUCUAAUAGGCCAUACAUUUAGAUGUAUGUGUAAUACUCGUUAAAGAUAUUAAAAAAGUAGAGUACUAAUAACCAGUUGAGAAGCCAGAGUUGAGUUGGGCGUGUCAUCUGGUCAUCUCCAAGUGACAAUCACAGCUUGUUUUUUAUUCUGCCCUUCUCUGAGCCGUGUCGGGCUCCUAUACAUUGAAGAGCCGUGAGAAUUCCUGGUUUGUAUUCUCUUUAGCAAAGGUUGCACGUGCCCAGCUUGCCAUUUUUGCUAAAAAUAGGGAGAAAAUCUUCUCCCUAAUGAACAAGAUGAAACAUCCAAGUGCUUUUAAAUUGACACACAAAUCACUUACGAUUCUAAAGCCAGUUUAUCCUAAAUAUUUCUAGUGACCUGG